GCCGGGGAAGCAGAGUGGUCUAAUGCGCGGGCCUUGAGAGCCUGUGACCCAUCCGGGUCUCGUGGGUUCGAAUCCUACCCCCGGCG
rnacentral:tRNA from 1 species